rnacentral:rRNA from 1 species
UACGGAGGGUGCAAGCGUUAAUCGGAAUUACUGGGCGUAAAGCGUGCGUAGGCGGUUCGCUGUGUCCGAUGUGAAAGCCCCGGGCUUAACCUGGGAAUGGCAUUGGAAACUGGCGGGCUUGAGUGCGGCAGAGGGGGGUGGAAUUCCGCGUGUAGCAGUGAAAUGCGUAGAGAUGCGGAGGAACACCGAUGGCGAAGGCAGCCCCCUGGGUCGACACUGACGCUCAGGCACGAAAGCGUGGGGAGCAAACAGG